rnacentral:rRNA from 1 species
CCUACGGGAGGCAGCAGUGGGGAAUAUUGGACAAUGGGGGCAACCCUGAUCCAGCAAUGCCGCGUGAGUGAUGAAGGCCUUCGGGUUGUAAAGCUCUUUUGUUAGGGACGAUGAUGACGGUACCUAACGAAUAAGCCCCGGCUAACUUCGUGCCAGCAGCCGCGGUAAUACGAAGGGGGCUAGCGUUGUUCGGAAUGACUGGGCGUAAAGGGCGCGUAGGCGGCUUAAUAAGUUUGGUGUGAAAUCCCUGGGCUCAACCUAGGAAUUGCAUUGAAAACUGUUAAGCUAGAGACUAAGAGAGGGAAAUGGAAUUGCGUGUGUAGAGGUGAAAUUCGUAGAUAUACGCAAGAACACCGGUGGCGAAGGCGAUUUCCUGGCUUAGAACUGACGCUAAGGCGCGAAAGCGUGGGGAGCAAACAGGAUUAGAUACCCUGGUAGUCCACGCUGUAAACGAUGAAAGCUAGAUGUCGGGGUAGUACCCUACCGGUACGUACGUCGUCGAACCGACGACUAAGUACGUUUCCGUUCCCGUCGGGUAGGGUACGGUUCGGUCGACGAUAAACUUAACAACUAGAUAGUACGGCGUGAGACUGCGAACGGACGACACCAGGGAGGUAAGG